rnacentral:rRNA from 1 species
AAGUCGAGCGGAACGAUCCUAGCUUGCUAGGAGGCGUCGAGCGGCGGACGGGUGAGUAAUGCAUAGGAAUCUACCCAGUCGUGGGGGAUAACCUGAGGAAACUCAGGCUAAUACCGCAUACGUCCUACGGGAGAAAGCGGGGGCUCUUCGGACCUCGUGCGAUUGGAUGAGCCUAUGUCGGAUUAGCUAGUUGGUAAGGUAACGGCUUACCAAGGCGACGAUCCGUAGCUGGUCUGAGAGGAUGAUCAGCCACACCGGGACUGAGACACGGCCCGGACUCCUACGGGAGGCAGCAGUGGGGAAUAUUGGACAAUGGGCGAAAGCCUGAUCCAGCCAUGCCGCGUGUGUGAAGAAGGCUUUCGGGUUGUAAAGCACUUUCAGCGAGGAAGAAAGCGUGCCGUUUAAUACACGGUACGGACGACAUCACUCGCUGAAGAAGCACCGGCUAACUCCGUGCCAGCAGCCGCGGUAAUACGGAGGGUGCAAGCGUUAAUCGGAAUUACUGGGCGUAAAGCGCGCGUAGGCGGCGUGUCACGCCGGGUGUGAAAGCCCCGGGCUCAACCUGGGAACGGCAUCCGGAACGGGCAGGCUAGAGUGCAGGAGAGGAAGGUAGAAUUCCCGGUGUAGCGGUGAAAUGCGUAGAGAUCGGGAGGAAUACCAGUGGCGAAGGCGGCCUUCUGGACUGACACUGACGCUGAGGUGCGAAAGCGUGGGUAGCAAACAGGAUUAGAUACCCUGGUAGUCCACGCCGUAAACGAUGUCGACUAGCCGUUGGGUCCCUUGAGGACUUAGUGGCGCAGUUAACGCGAUAAGUCGACCGCCUGGGG